CCAAACCCAAUGUGAACGUUACCAAACUUGUUUGCCUCGGCGGGAUCUCUUGCCCCGGGUGCGUCGCAGCCCCGGACCAAGGCGCCCGCCGGUAGGACCAACCUAAAACUCUUAUUGUAUACCCCCUCGCGGGUUUUUUUAUAAUCUGAGCCUUUCUCGGCGCCUCUCGUAGGCGUUUCGAAAAUGAAUCAAAACUUUCAACAACGGAUCUCUUGGUUCUGGCAUCGAUGAAGAACGCAGCGAAAUGCGAUAAGUAAUGUGAAUUGCAGAAUUCAGUGAAUCAUCGAAUCUUUGAACGCACAUUGCGCCCGCCAGUAUUCUGGCGGGCAUGCCUGUCCGAGCGUCAUUUCAACCCUCGAACCCCUCCGGGGGGUCGGCGUUGGGGAUCGGCCCUCCCUUAGCGGGUGGCCGUCUCCGAAAUACAGUGGCGGUCUCGCCGCAGCCUCUCCUGCGCAGUAGUUUGCACACUCGCAUCGGGAGCGCGGCGCGUCCACAGCCGUUAAACACCCAACUUCUGAAAUGUUGACCUCGGAUCAGGUAGGAAUACCCGCUGAACUUAAGCAUAUCAAUAAGCGGAGGAAAAGAAACCAACAGGGAUUGCCCCAGUAACGGCGAGUGAAGCGGCAACAGCUCAAAUUUGAAAUCUGGUCCCUAGGGCCCGAGUUGUAAUUUGUAGAGGAUGCUUUUGGUGAGGUGCCGCCCGAGUUCCCUGGAACGGGACGCCACAGAGGGUGAGAGCCCCGUCUGGCUGGCCGCCGAGCCUCUGUAAAGCUCCUUCGACGAGUCGAGUAGUUUGGGAAUGCUGCUCAAAAUGGGAGGUAUAUGUCUUCUAAAGCUAAAUAUUGGCCAGAGACCGAUAGCGCACAAGUAGAGUGAUCGAAAGAUGAAAAGCACCUUGAAAAGAGGGUUAAAUAGUACGUGAAAUUGUUGAAAGGGAAGCGCUUGUGACCAGACUUGGGCGCGGCGGAUCAUCCGGGGUUCUCUCCGGUGCACUUCGCCGCGUCUAGGCCAGCAUCAGUUCGUCGCGGGGGAAAAAGGCUUCGGGAACGUGGCUCCUCCGGGAGUGUUAUAGCCCGUUGCAUAAUACCCUGCGGUGGACUGAGGACCGCGC
rnacentral:sRNA from 1 species